CAGUAGCCGCGGGAAAACGUAGGGUCCGAGCGUUGUCCGGAAUUAUUGGGCGUAAAGGGCUCGUAGGCGGUUUGUCGCGUCGGGAGUGAAAACCAGCAGCUUAACUGCUGGCCUGCUUUCGAUACGGGCAGACUUGAGGCAUUCAGGGGAGAACGGAAUUCCUGGUGUAGCGGUGAAAUGCGCAGAUAUCAGGAGGAACACCGGUGGCGAAGGCGGUUCUCUGGGAAUGUUCUGACGCUGAGGAGCGAAAGUGUGGGGAGCGAACAGGAUUAGAUACCCCCGUAGUCCCUGUCUCUUAUAC
rnacentral:rRNA from 1 species